UAUCCUACGGGACGCAGCAGUGGGGAAUAUUGCACAAUGGGCGCAAGCCUGAUGCAGCGACGCCGCGUGCGGGAUGGAGGCCUUCGGGUUGUAAACCGCUUUUGUUCAAGGGCAAGGCACGGUCUUUUGCCGUGUUGCGUGGAUUGUUCGAAUAAGCACCGGCUAAUUACGUGCCAGCAGCCGCGGUAAUACGUAGGGUGCAAGCGUUAUCCGGAUUUAUUGGGCGUAAAGGGCUCGUAGGCGGUUUGUCACGUCCGGUGUGAAA
rnacentral:rRNA from 1 species